UACGGGGGGGGCAAGCGUUGUUCGGAAUUACUGGGCGUAAAGGGCUUGUAGGCGGCCAACUAAGUCAGACGUGAAAUCCCUCGGCUUAACCGGGGAACUGCGUCUGAUACUGGAUGGCUUGAGUUCGGGAGAGGAAUGCGGAAUUCCAGGUGUAGCGGUGAAAUGCGUAGAUAUCUGGAGGAACACCGGUGGCGAAGGCGGCAUCCUGGACCGACACUGACGCUGAAAAGCGAAAGCCAGGGGAGCAAACGGG
rnacentral:rRNA from 1 species